AGUAACCUGCCUUGGAGUGGGGAAUAACAGUUGGAAACAGCUGCUAAUACCGCAUAAUGCAGUUGAGUCGCAUGGCUCUGACUGCCAAAGAUUUAUCGCUCUGAGAUGGACUCGCGUCUGAUUAGCUAGUUGGUGGGGCAACGGCCCACCAAGGCGACGAUCAGUAGCCGGACUGAGAGGUUGGCCGGCCACAUUGGGACUGAGACACGGCCCAGACUCCUACGGAAGGCAGCAG
rnacentral:rRNA from 1 species